ACAAAGAGAAUUCUAGAAGCAGUGAGACACCAACCCUUAUACCCAAUCAAUUCCUUUUUUUUUUCUCUAUCCCAAAAAUAUCCAUCAAUGCUCAAAACUGAAGGUUUCACAAAACCAAUAAGGCACAUCCAAAAAAGAUAGAUCAAACGUCAAAAGAAAGAAACUCCUUUCCUCCAUUCUUCAAACUUUCCCUUCUUGAUCAAUUCAGUUCUCUUGGUCUUCCCAUCGUUGUCUUGGGAUCCACAGACGAAUAUUGUUUCCCCUCUAGAUAGCCCAGAGUGCACAACAGAACAUAUUCCUCUGAUGGGUGGUGCAAGUCUCGAAAACCCAAGUAAGGGUUCGUGGUGGUGUUGUGGGAGUCUUAUUUUUUUACUUUUGGUCCUACUGAUGUUUGAGUUAAUCUGGUGUACCGUUCUGGUAAGUGUCCUUUAAUAAAAUCGAGACCCUUCGAUGGUGUAGUGAAGUUUCAAGGCUGCUAUUGUGAAAGGUAUUGUUCACUCCGGGGGUGUGAAUUCUUCAAAAACGAACUAGAUGUGUACCUUAAACAUGAAAAAUUGACGUUCAGCUAAAGCUAAAAAAGGGCACUGUCGACGUCACACAGGUGUGUGGCUGGCCGUGUGUGAGACAUGAUCAUGUGUGGCCAUGUGGGCCACAUGGGCUAGGUCAGAUUUGGUGUGUGGGCCACAUGGACGUGUGGGUUUUGGGCCAGGCCAUAUAGCCCAUAUGGGUAAGGCCAAUUUGGGCGUAUGGGCCCACACGGGCAAAGCACACAGACAUGUUGACCCAAAAUUCUAAAAUUUUCCCUAGGGUCGCACGGGUCGUUCUGAUCGACUGUGGACCUACCUAGGGUCGGUAAUCCACAGACUUAGGCGAGUCGGUGCAACGGAGGCUCAGCGGAGACCACUCGACAGAGAACUAUUUUUAUUUAGUAAUAAUGAUUUUAUUUUAAAAUCUGGUUUUUCUUAAGAGUUUGUAAUUUUUGGGACUCUUUGGAUUGUAUGGUUUUAGCUUUUGGAUUUGGAUUUUGUUUUGCUUUCUUUUUCGCAAUGUUGAUAAAAACACUUCACGCAAACAAAUGGUUUUAACAAAUGGUUUUUAGAAACAUGAGCUUGGUUUCGAAUAAAAUAA